UACCGCAUACGUCCUACGGGAGAAAGCAGGGGACCUUCGGGCCUUGCGCUAUCAGAUGAGCCUAGGUCGGAUUAGCUAGUUGGUGAGGUAAUGGCUCACCAAGGCGACGAUCCGUAACUGGUCUGAGAGGAUGAUCAGUCACACUGGAACUGAGACACGGUCCAGACUCCUACGGGAGGCAGCAGUGGGGAAUAUUGGACAAUGGGCGAAAGCCUGAUCCAGCCAAGGCGCGUGUGUGAAGAAGGUCUUCGGAUU
rnacentral:rRNA from 1 species